GGCGAAAUCGUUAUUGUUGUGAGCAGGAUUAUUAGGCGGGAAGAGGUGUGCUUUGCGUGGGAGUGAGAAAUAUUAAGAAAUAAUGCAAAGGUGAAUUGAGAUUUGAAAAGUGAGAAGAGAAAUGAAAGAGAAAGAGGAAAUUGAAAAGUGGAUUGAGGGAGAUGAGAGUGCGGCGGAGAUGCUGAGCAGAGUGAGCAGCGUGCGGCCGUUCGUGUUUCCUCCGCCGCUGCAUAGGGUUCCUCUCCGCGUCGGCAACGUCCUGGAGCUUGUGGGACCGUCGCCCUCCGCCAAAACUCAAAUUCUCAUUCACGCCGCCAUCACUUCCGUUCUCCCCAAACCCUACGGAGGCCUCGACCACUUGGUCCUCUUUCUCGACCUCGAUUGCCGCUUCGACAUCACGCGCUUCUCUCAAUUGCUCAUUCAUCGCAUCACGCAACACGGAACGGAUUCUUAUGAUCAGGCCUUGUACCGUCUCUGCAUGGCCCGUUUUUUGUAUGUCCGUUGUUACGAUAGCUUUGAGUUUCUUCACACUCUCAGGACAUUGCAUUGUCGCUUAGAGAAGGAGAAAGAAGUUCACGGAGUUGGUGUUCACGUGCUCAUGAUUGACAGCAUUGGAGCUUUUCAUUGGAUGGAUCGUGCAUCAAUGUUCUUGUCUCAAAGACAAACCAGCAAAAAAAAACUUUUCCUUCAGACUGUGUCAGAAGCUGUAGUACAGAACAUUAGAAAACUUCUUCAGGUGCACCCUAUGCUUAUUAUGGCCACAAAGUCAGUGAUUUUUGGGAAUAGAUAUUCUACAGCUUCAAAUGAGGUCAAAGGGAACAUGGAAGAAAGAUGUUCAAAAAAUAUGACAAGAAACCAUCAAAAUUUUCAGUAUCGUGAAUACAUGCCAUCUGUCUGGCAGUCCUUUGUUACACACAGAAUACUUAUCCAUUCUUCAGAUGAGCAUCCCGGUACAACCAAUCAUCAAAACUCAGCCUACUCGUUGGAAUGGUUAUUGCCAAAAUUGAGUUUUCCAGACAGGAUUGUAGUGAAAGAUGCUGGUGUCUUUGUCCAAUCAUAAAGUACUUGUUGCGAAGGGAUGUCUAUGAUUAUCCUUGCAGUGGCAGUUGAUGUAGUACAGAUUCACUACAAGAACAAAGUGUGACUUCUUGACUGGAAAUAUUCUGACACAGACAGUCACAGGAUCAAUCAAAUCAAGUAUUGUGAAGUUUAUUUGUGAUCAAUAUUAUGUCACAUGAGAAACUGAAGAGGAAUUCCGUUCCACUUAGCUGUUCCAGAAAGAAUGACCAUUUUUCAAUCCUAUACAACGGGAAAAAACGGUGGGACAAAAGCACUGGCUGAAGAUAUUUCAUCAAACAUCAAACAUUUUCUAAAACAUAAUUAUUGUGCAAAGUUCAAUCACACCAAAUACUGGAAGCUUCAGGGGCUUUCUGCUGAUGGACGUAGAGAAAAUGAUAAAGGUUGAAUUGGAAGGCUGAAGUUCAUCCAUCUUUGAUAGCAUAUUUGCAAAAGAUGGGAAAUGAUUGCAGUGAUGAUAGAAUUUCCAUAUGCCCCACCAUUCUUAUACUCUUUUGGAAGGAAAAGAAGUAGUUUGGUGGGCACCACUCACCACAUACUUACACACAUCUCAUUCAUUCUAUUUGAUUUUUUCAUUCUUUCUAAUUGUAAAAGCCAAAGGAAAUUAGGAAAGAACUUCCUUUUCAUACUCUUUUGGAAGGAUAGUAAGUAAUUUUGUGGUCUCCACUCACCACAUGUUUACAUACAUUCCAAAGGAAAUUAGGAAAGGCCUUUCUUUUUAAGCACACAAUACCAAUCGUGAGUGAUAACUCCUCUACUUGUCUCUAUCUUCUUUCCUUUCCUUUUUCCCUGUAUGGUAUAACCAGAGGCUAACAACUUUAGGAAACAAGGACAGCCAGAUUAAUUUUCUUUCCCUACAAACUAAAAGGUAGUGGGUCAUGGUACAGAGUGCAAAGCUAGAAAUUUGACUGAUUUAAAUAAAACUGGAGCACUUUUUGAAACAAAAUAUUAAAAAGGGUUUGUUCUGAAACAUAUUAUCAUUCAGAACAGAACUGUGAACAUCUCUUCCUGCACCCUUUCAUUAUUGUUUUAUUCUAUUAUUCAAAAAAUGUCCCAAACUUUUUUUUAUAGAUAAAUG